GCUUUGAAUGCCCAGCUGAGUGUCCACUUCGUCCUGUGGGAGCUGGGAGCCAUGGAGGGCUCUGAGCAGAGGGGGCAUGACCACAGUGGGAGAGGACAAAAAGGUCACUGUGCAGCCAGGAUGGGAGAAACAGGGAAGAGACAGAAAAGUCAAGCCUGAAGCCUAUGGGAAUUAAGCAGCUUCACUAAGGAGAGUGACAACGCCUGAGGGAGCGUCCGCAGAGACUCCUUCGUCCCACCACCCUGACACGUCUAAGGAAUCACAAGACGCAGUGACUGGCAGGGAAAAUAUGGAAAAGAGCUUUCCUGCCUGAAAUCACCCCUGUCCAGAGCUAACACCUUGAAGGCACAGCACACUCUCCUGUGGUCAGAUCUUCAUUGGAAAGUGGGUGAGAAACCACAUGUGACACUAAGUAUCCUACUUCUUGGUGUCGCUCUCUCUGCUAGACCACAGAUGGUGCCUUUAAAGACGUAAUUCAGAUGGAGAGAGCUGACGACUGCAGAGACCUAUAGGAAGGGUGAGUCACAAGAUGAAAAAAGGCUGGGAACCUGAGUGACUUUGUGGAGCAGAGCUCCCUGCCAACCCCCUGCAACUGUGACAUGGACAAGAAAUAAAGCUCUACUAUGUUAAGCUGCUGAGAUUUUAGGUAGUUUGUUAUAGCAGCACAGUCUACCCUG